GCCCACCCUCUUCACUUCCAGCACUCUCAUGGAGAAGAUUCCAGUCUUCCCCCCUGUGUUGUAGAUUGCCGGCUGUGAAAAAUAACAAAAACAAGAGCGCUAUGCACCAGCUGCAAUACAAAAAUCCUCAAGGAAAGCAGGAACUGAGGGUCCAUCAUUUCACUCGGACCAGUGAGAGACACAUGAAGACCUAAUCGAACUGACGAAAGAAAAGACAAUAAGGGAUGUCAACAACUGAACCACAACAAACAACUGGAGGAGGAUUAACUAUCAAGGAUGUGGUUUCACUGGGAGUCAAACUCAGGACUCUCUGCUUCCGUGAAAGGCGUGCUCACCGCUACACUAUGGAACCCAUUUUUCUCAUCUAUUCCCCCAUCUUUUUUUUUAAAUGUUCAACAUAUCUUUGCAAGUUGCAUUGUUCCAAAAAUAGUUGGACGAAGUAGGCUUUUUUUGAUGACGUUUCACUUCUCAACCAAGAGGCUUCAUCAGUUCCUCUUGGAUGAGAAACGUCUUUUAAAAAAAAAACCCUACUUCGUCCAGUUGCCCUCGAUGUAACUAUUUUUGGAUUAAAUGACCUGGAUGACUGAGAACCACCACAGACAAUAGUCGUUGUUAUUUACAUGACACCACUGAGACUACAGACAUAACCAGUAACACACAGUUCCACUGACAGAGCUGUAAAAGUGCAGCUGUGCUCCUUCAGGUUUGACAUUUGGACGAACCUGAAAAAACUACAACUCAUCCUGUAACUGUGGACAUUCUUUUGGACUUACCAGAUGAUAUGUACUGAAUUUUAGACACAAAGGUGUGAUGACACCGACAACUAAAAUACGGUUCCAAUACUCUUCCAUUUCAGCUCUUUUAUUGAUAUUUUCACUUUUAUCAUUUUGCUGUGCCCUGAGGAGGUCAGUAAGGAAAGAUUUGUGAGUAU